rnacentral:rRNA from 1 species
UACGAGAGGCCCAAACGUUAUUCGGAUUUACUGGGCUUAAAGAGUUCGUAGGCGGCGCAGAAAGUAGGGUGUGAAAGCCCUCGGCUCAACCGAGGAAUUGCGCCCUAAACUGCUGUGCUUGAGGAACCUAGAGGUGAGCAGAACUGAUGGUGUAGCGGUGAAAUGCGCAGAUAUCAGGAAGAACACCUAUGGCGAAGGCAGCUCUCUGGGACGGUACUGACGCUGAGACGCGAAAGCGUGGGGAGCGAACAGG